rnacentral:rRNA from 1 species
AUACGGAGGGUGCAAGCGUUACUCGGAAUCACUGGGCGUAAAGCGCGCGUAGGCGGCUAAUUAAGUCAAAUGUGAAAUCCCCGAGCUUAACUUGGGAAUUGCAUUCGAUACUGGUUAGCUAGAGUGUGGGAGAGGAUGGUAGAAUUCCAGGUGUAGCGGUGAAAUGCGUAGAGAUCUGGAGGAAUACCGAUGGCGAAGGCAGCCAUCUGGCCUAACACUGACGCUGAGGUGCGAAAGCAUGGGGAGCAAACAGGAUUAGAUACCCGAGUAGUCC